GGCAAGGUUUGGUUCUUUUCGAUCCUUCCAUUCUCUCAUCAGAUUCACAUGAUAUGUUUGUGUUUUCUUUCCCUUCUCAGGAUGAAGCACUUCAUAGGUCACAGGUCCUUGCUUCUUCAGGACCUCAAAUGGACCUUGCCAUUUUGCCAGAAGCUUGUUGGAAGAGGUAGGAAGCAGCAACAGAAUCUUCUGACCAGGUUUGAAUUCACGCAGACGAGCUUUCUGGUCAUACCAUGUUUUCUGUUUUUGCUGAGCUUUCUCAAGGUGAAGACGGGCCUGCUCUCUAUAGGACUCCAGGCGAUCUCUCAUCUGCAAGACAAAGUCAACAAUGCCCCUCUCUUUACCAUCUUCUGUCUGGUUCUCCCACUGGUGGCGCAAGAGGUCAAGAGGUCCCUGGACAGACCACCCAUACAGGAGCUCGAAUGGCGAGAACCCAGUUGAAGCUUGAGGGUCUGAUUGAACCGUUCAACAAGGCCAUCAGUUUGAGCGUGGUAGGGUGAUGUGCGAAUUCCGGUGAUUCCCAGAUGCUGGUGGAAUUGGGACAUAAGUCGAGAGGUAAAGUUUGUGCCUUGGUCAGUGAGGAUUUCGUCAGGAAACCCCACCCUGGAGAAGAAUUGCACUAGUGCAGAGAUUACCUUGGGGGUGGUGAUAGAGCGCAGAGGAAAAGCCUCAGGAAAUCUGGUGGAGUAAUCACACACAACUAAGAUGUACCUAAAGCCAGAACUACUCUUUUCAAGAGGACCUACGAUAUCCAUGGCUACACGUCUGAAAGGUGUGGCAAUAAUGGGCAUAGGCUGCAGAGGUGCUCUGUCAGUAUGUCGAAUGUGGCUGGUUUUUUGACAUUCAGGGCAUGAACUACAGUAUUUCUGGACGUCAGAAUACAUAGAAGGCCAGUAGAAGCGACGGCUAAUCCUAAGGUAAAUGACCCAGUGCUAUCAUCCUGUCCUACUUGGGCAUACAAGGGAGCAAGGGAAGGGUCCUCUCUCUGAAGAGUGUCUAUGUUUGUGGGGACCUGCCACUGACCAGUAUUAAGGUGUGUGGUGUUUGGUAGAUGUGUGGGUGAUCCUAAAGCUUUCUCAAGACGACGUUUCUGACGUGACUUUUUUGGGCCCUCCUUCCCACCCUCAAACAGGCUAUCAGACACAGAAGGAAGUGGCUCAAUACCAACUCUGGUUUGGGAACGUGUUAACACUGGGCAGGAGACAUUAACAGGGGACUGGGCUUCUUCUAACAAUUCAGCCAAGACAGGCAAGUCCCUGCCAAUCACCAUGUCUUUGGGCAAGUCAUUAACCACUCCCACCCGCAAAAGAAACACAUUCUCAGAAACCUCAAGAGUUACAUCAGCUGUAGGAUAACAUUUUACAUCACCAUGUACACAUUGUAUUUUGGUCAACACAGAAUGGUCAAUCAGACUAGGUGGCAAAAAAUCCCCCUUUACCAAGGUCACAGCACUCCCAGUAUCCAACAUAGCUUGUAAAGGUUGACCAUUAACCACUACAGAAAUGUCAGUAGAAUUUCCCAAACUGCUGGAAACAAAAUCUCUAGGCUCAGUUAUUACUGCUUCCCCUCUGUCUGAUAAGAAAAUGUCCCCCUCUCUUGGCACAUAACAGUAGCUUGACAGUUUAGGUCUUUUAAGAGGACAUACAGAUGCCUUAUGUCCUUGCUGCCGACAAUAAAAACAAAUCAAGGUACCUUUUGUU